rnacentral:lncRNA from 1 species
UAAUCAAGAAAGGUCAGGUCAACAUUAGUCCUGUAUCAGUCCCGACGGUGAGGGCUCUGGUACAUAGUCUUUCUGUUGCUCCUGUUAUCCGCAAGGAAAGGGUCACCGAAGUAGGGGACCGCAGCUAGCGAAGUGAACCGUUAGAAACCGGGGUAUAAAUAACAACAAGUCAGGCAUGAAAGCCAAGUGAAGUGACCAGAGGGUUAGGGUGCGGUGCCAAUUCUUAAGAGUGGUGUGAGAAAGGUCAAGUCAACAUUAGUCCUGUAUCAGACCCGACGGUGAGGGCUCUGGUACAUAAUCUUUCUGUUGCUCCUGCUAUCCGCAAGGAAAGGGUCAGCGAAGUAGGGGACCGCAGCUAGCGAAGUGAACCAUUAGAAACCGGGGUAUAAAUAACAACAAGUCAGGCAUGAAAGCCAAGUGAAAUGACCAGAGGGUUAGGGUGCCUGACCAGAGGGUUAGGGUGCGGUGCCCAUUCUUAAGAGUAUUGUGAGGAAGUGAGCUAGCCUGACAGUGAAAUCAAUGAAUUUCCUGAAGUGAAGCAAGGAUAUUCAGUAUAGGUAGUACAGUUAGAACAGCCUUAACUAACUGAUUAAGGCAUUACGGUACGGGCUCAUUCCAUAAAGGAAUAGCGGGACG